UGCACCAACCAUACCAUGUUGGAAACAGAGGUUCCCGACUGAUCACCGGAGUUAAACAAUGCUGGACCCGGUUGGUAGUUGCUCGGGUGACCCACUGGGAAUAUCGGGUGUUGUGGCCG
rnacentral:rRNA from 1 species